rnacentral:sRNA from 2 species
CUGGAACCUGAAAUCUUUUAUAAAGGCUCCAUAAAAAUACAGACUCACCAGUUCCUGCUUUGAUGUGACAUGUGACUCCCCAGAAUACACCUUGCUUCUGU